GGCUUCGUAGCUCAGCUGAUAGAGCUUUUGCCGCGCUGAGGCAUGGUGUUUCCGUCGCUGGUUCGAAUCCAGCCGAAGUCC
rnacentral:tRNA from 1 species